rnacentral:lncRNA from 1 species
GGCUCACCCUUCCUGGGGACUUCCUCUCAUCUCACAGUUCGGUUAACCAGUCCGCGCCCUCGGCACCUCCUGCGUGCUCCCUCUGCCGCCCAGGCCCCUCGCCGUGGCUCCCGCUUGCCUCGCCCCGCCCUGCCCUCCCGCUUCUGCACUCCUCGGGCUCCUGGCUGGACACAGGUGCAUGGGUCCUUAGCCCAAGGGAGGGGUGGUCCUCUCUGCGUCCAUCCCGGCCUUGCCUUGCCACUUAGUCGUUUUCUUACCUAUCCCCUGCCUUUUGUGUCCGCGCUCCCCAAGGCGCUGCGACAGAGGACAGUGGCCUCGGGAAGGGCCGCAGGGCUGGGGCGGGCGGGGGAGCAGGUGGCGACACCGCGGAGGACUGGGCGGGGGGGGGGGGGGGGGGGGGGAGCCGGUGCCUCCGGGCGCGGCCGGCAGAGGGCGCGCGGGCACCGGGAUUGGCCGCGGCAGCCGAGGGAGAGCGGCCCCUGGGACCCGGGCGCGUGCGGGCACAAGGGCUGCUGGCGCUCAGAGGCCCGGCUAAAAAUACGCGCGCGCCGUCCAGGUCUCGGGGCCGAAGAGGGGGCGGCCCUCGGAAGGAGCGACCUCUGCAGCCUGGAGGGAGAAUGCAGCUUUGGGGGAGCCCGCAGGGCUCCCGAGGCACCUGGGGAGAGCCUCGCCCAGGCCUCAGUCUUCCCGUCUGCAGGAUGGGGGCCGUGUAUUUCUCCAAGAAACAGUGAGUGGCCGCUGCGGGCGUCAGGCGCGCCGCCGCCAAGUUCUUACAGCCGUGCGGUUCGGCGUCACGGGGCCGAGGCGGUGCAGGGGGAGAAUAAACGGGCAGGUGCAGGAGGCGCUCAGAUGUUCAAGCACGGAAAGAGAAGAAUAAAGGAUGAUGUGCCAGAGAGUAGGCCGCCCGGAGAAGCACAGAGGCGCGUUCCAGGGGGAGGACAGUGCCCCUGCAAAGGCCCAGAGGCCGCAGAGCCUGGCCGCUUGGGGGAAAAGAUGGAAGGUGGAGGGAACGGCCCGGGAGCCGGACGGGGCAGCCGGCACCCAGAAACCGUCGGGGUCCGCGGGGAUGUUGGGGUGCCUGGAAGGGGUCGAGGGGAGCUCUGUUUGACCGCGGUGUCGGCCGCACGGAUAAACGGAGUCGUGCAUUUUGCUCCGUGGAUUCUACCUCUGAUGCAAAAGGGAGCAUAG